rnacentral:rRNA from 1 species
AUGCAAGUAGCACUAGCAGUACUAAUGUAUGCUCUUCUCCAAACAAAUAGUAAUUUUUAUACACAAAGCCGUGUUUGCUUUUUCACCACACCUUUUGGUCCUUAUCUCUCCAUCUUAUCUACUAGAAGUAACCACCACCACACAUUUAUUCCUUGUUCUAUCAACUCCCUGCCACUUUCUCUACUCAAUAAUACGAUAGCUAGCAAAAUGGAUGCAGCAACCAUAGCUACAAAAGUUCAGGUUCAGGAGCGCUGUGGGAAUGACUGCUUCGGGAAAUGGCUCAACCUCGCUCUUCCUCCGCUGACCUCAUGA